GACGAACGCUGGCGGCGUGCCUAAUACAUGCAAGUAGAACGCUGAAGGAGGAGCUUGCUUCUCUGGAUGAGUUGCGAACGGGUGAGUAACGCGUAGGUAACCUGCCUGGUAGCGGGGGAUAACUAUUGGAAACGAUAGCUAAAACCGCAUAAGAGUAGAUGUUGCAUGACAUUUGCUUAAAAGGUGCAAUUGCAUCACUACCAGAUGGACCUGCGUUGUAUUAGCUAGUUGGUGGGGUAACGGCUCACCAAGGCGACGAUACAUAGCCGACCUGAGAGGGUGAUCGGCCACACUGGGACUGAGACACGGCCCAGACUCCUACGGGAGGCAGCAGUAGGGAAUCUUCGGCAAUGGACGGAAGUCUGACCGAGCAACGCCGCGUGAGUGAAGAAGGUUUUCGGAUCGUAAAGCUCUGUUGUAAGAGAAGAACGAGUGUGAGAGUGGAAAGUUCACACUGUGACGGUAUCUUACCAGAAAGGGACGGCUAACUACGUG
rnacentral:rRNA from 1 species